GCACUCAAGACCUGCUGGACUUCUUUCUGCAAGUUCGGUUCCGGGACUCUCUCUUGCUCCGGGAUUCUCGCAAGGCCCGUUGGAGCUCCCGAAAUACGUAUGCGACGCACGGCGGCCGGUCCAUCCGUUCUGCCGCACGAGCUGUCACGCCUUAGCCGUUGCUGCCGAUAAGUUUCAAGUCGCGUCUUCAGCGGUCUUCUUUUGUGCGCGUGUUCCCGCGGACGAACUGGAAGGGACAACGAAGCAGCUGUCGUCGUCACGUUCUUCAACUAACGUCCGAGGUGCAGCUCGUGCUACCAAGUGACCGUGACGCUACCUUGAGGGACAACGGAGCAACCGUCGUCGCUGCGUGGCUUCGGCAUCUAACCCACGAGGUGGGACGGUGUGUGUGCGUGCGUAUAGUGUGCGAGGGCUGUGCGGCUAUUAACUUUAUCAAAAACUGAUUGACAAUAUUGGCGAAAAUAGGUGCAGUUAACUGUGGUGCUUCAUUCGGCACGAGCUUCCUAGGACGGCCGCAGCCACAUCGGGUCGUCGCCGUGACGGAAGCGGAGAGGACGGGGUGGGGCGAUUGUAGCUUCAGGCUCAGCUAACACUAGGAAGGUAGCUGGCGCUGCGCGUAGGCAACAGCUGGCAGGGGUCCUCUCUCUCGUUUGCGACACGGAUGUCGGCCCGUUCCGAGUGCUAUUGCUUCCCGGCCACCAUUUCGCAACCACGCGCGCGAAAGGGCUCGAAAUGUUGAACCGCGGAAGUAAUUGGCAUACGGAAAUGGAGUGUGUGGGUUAACCAGUGGCGUAUUCCAGAGCGUCACUGAAGCAUGGACGUUGCCUUCGGUCCGCAGCGCGGCGCGUUGCGGCCAAAGUAUGUGGAUAAUUUUUGUUCUCUAUUCUUUGUGCUACGCUGUGUUUUUGUCGCUCGACGCGCGGACCAUGUUUGACGAGUUCAUCGAUCACCGCUCGCGCGACGACGCCUGUCAUGGUGAGUACCUACUUUCUGUUUCUAUUCAUUAUUCGAGAAGUUCCCCCUUUUUAGUUUCAGGUACGUCACCUAGGCCUUAGCGUAUGGCGCACUCCAGCAACGUCCAGAGCGCACGUCCGUGUGCCAGACGGACGACGUUCAGCGCUUGUCGUCCAUCGGCUGACUGUCUGUGCAAUUCUGCUCCAGCCUCGCAGCUACUGGUUUCCUGGCGAGUGACGUUGUCUGCACUUGCUGCCCUGAAGUACGUCGACUGACCCCUUGGCCAUCAGUCACGUGCGGUGGAGUUCCCUGCGCCCUGCCGUCUCCCGGAUGGGUGACGUUCAGUGCCUCUUCUACCGCGGCUGACCGUCCGUGCACUUUUCCUCCAGCCUCGCAGCUACUGGUUUCCUGGCGAGUGACGUUGUCUGCACUUGCUACCCUGCAGUACGUCGACUGACCCCUUGGCCAUCAGUCGCGUGCGGCGGAGUUCCCUGCACCCUGCCGUCUCCCGGAUGGGUGACGUUCAGUGCCUCUUCUACCGCGGCUGACCGUCCGUGCACUUUUCCUCCAGCCUCGCAGCUACUGGUUUCCUGGCGAGUGACGUUGUCUGCACUUGCUGCCCUGUAGUACGUCGACUGACCCCUUGGCCAUCAGUCACGUGCGGCGGAGUUCCCUGCGCCCUGCCGUCUCCCGGAUGGGUGACGUUCAGUGCCUCUUCUACUGCGGCUGACCGUCCGUGCACGCCUGCUCGAGCCUUACAGCUACUGGUUUCCUGGCGAAUGCAGGUGCCUGUACUACCUGCCCUGCAGUAAGUCGAAUGCCCCCGGCAACCCUUGCCCUGACAUCCACCGCCCGUCAAGAUCUGCCCCGCCGGCGUAUAAAGGCCUAGUCCUGACCGUAAGGAGACGGGCCUUGCUCUCGUGACAGUUCAUGACAUUGCUACGCCCGAUGACGUUGAGCUGCGGGAAAAGUCUUUCUGCGUGCUGCCUAGACGAUGCUGCAAGGCUACGGAGACGUGACGGCGACCGACGACGACAGCCCCGUAACAGUUCCUUCCGUUCGGUAGCUGUGUCAUAGCAGUUCGAUGUACACUCGUAUUGAGUCCAUAGCUGUUUCACGAGUGCACCAAAACAAUUUCAAGUAACUAUGCUGGCUCAUAUUCAGUACACUACUCAGGGUCUAGCGUUAGGUUAAUCUGGGGUUCCAUGCACGUUAAUUCACAUUCUGUGCUCUCGUUGUGGUACGCUGAUGCUGGUUCGCAUUGCGAAGUUGCGCGCGCGUAUGUGUUUGUGUGAGCAUGCGUAUGUGUGCGUUGCUGCAUGUAUGCUGUCUAUUUGUUAUACGCGCGUGCGACUUCGCUCAUUCCAUCUGGUUGGUGGCAUGAUUUCCCCUGGGGUCCGUUUUCUCUUCCAUGGAAUUUUUGCUGGCUGGCCGCGUUUAUCAGGUGAUUUCCUUCGGAAAGCUCGUUGGCGGUUCUGCAGUGAUGGUCGCACAUCUUUUCAGCAAAACUUUAGGACUGGGCAUUCCCCUUACUUAAAGGGUGUCCGGCCGUCCACUCGCAUAUUUGUCUGCACCUUCCAUUAUCAAAUUGUUUUGUACUCGACGGAGUCUCUGUUGGUAUCUUUUGCUUGUCCACAUUCUCCUUGUUUGUCCAGUGAUCCAUCAUGGCUAAUGCGAAACAUCGGCGUACCAUUACAAAAGGCAUAUUGUGUGAAUUAAAGGCAAUAGAACAUCCUCGUUAACUUGUGAAGAUCAUGAUUAUGAGCUUAUCCAUUGCAAACUAGUGCUGGCAUGGCACCAAGCUUAUCCUUCGACCUGUAUAGCCGUUAUUCAUUGUAGCGGUACACCUGCGCACUUCUACACGGCGAAAUACAGCAGCUCCUGAACCUGCCUUCAGCAAGAUAGCACAUUGAUCUGACACCACCACCAACGCCACACAUGCCUGCCGUGUUAGGUCUUGAUCACACUUUUUCAUCACGAUUCCUUUUGUCCUCGAGUGUUCGCUGCCUUGUAUAGAUUUACCUCCUUGCAUCCACUUAAUGUACUUCUCUAUAACAUGUACUCGCUGUACCAUGCUCCCUCUACUUAAUAAAAUGGCAGAGGUAUUCUUUUUCCUACCACUUUUUCCCUUGUUGGGGAACAUUGUUUAUAACUGUAUAAUCUGACUUUUUUUUUUUUUAAAUCCAUAUUCUUGUCAACAUUUCUACGUUCACUAGUGUUAUGUGCGAAUAGAAAUAAAAUUUUGGACUUUGUUCCAGAGUAGAUAACGCA